rnacentral:lncRNA from 1 species
GCAACUUAUUUAUCACACCAGACUAUCAUCUUAUUGCAUUUUGUUCGCAAUUAAUGACAUUUAACUAAUAGGACCCACAAAUCAUGCAUUAUAAGAAUACGCAUAAGAAUUUAGAGAUAUGAUUGAAUUUUGGAAAAUAAAAAUAGCUCGCAUAACUUGGGGACUGGGGUGAGCUUACAUUAUGAAUUGAUAUGGACAGUGAUGAUUAAUAUAAUCAACUCAAAACUUGCAUGGAACUUACAUAUGUGAAUCAUCGGUUUUGAUUUCAGGUUAUUCGGGAUUAAUUUGGAAGACGUAAUAGCUAUUGUUGUAAUACCUAGCAUAGUUUCAUAUAUCAUCAAAGAUUUUUAAUACCAUACCGUUGAUUAUGAUAUACAACUUGCUCGAUCAUGCACUAAUAUGAUCACAAAAAGAAUAGCUAAAAAUAGAUCAUUCAAUCUCAACGAUCCAGUCCCUUUCAUCGGCGAUAACACCUCUUUGAAUCCCUAGUAAUCUUGAAUAAAAUUGCUUGCACGUUUGGUCUAAGCUUAUUUCAUACUCAAUCCUGCACCAGCAAAAACACAGCUAUUAAAUCUUUGAAUAUUGAGAAGGAAGGUGAAAAAAUGUGGAUAUCAAGUAACAAUAUAAUAAUUGUUAUGAAAUAGAAGAUUCUUACACUUCUAUUUAAGGUGAAUGUCUUUAAUGUA